rnacentral:lncRNA from 1 species
GAUCCUCGGUAGCGAAGGGCUGGAGGCAAACACCGAGCUCCCCCUGAGCCGCCUGGGAGCAGGGAGGGUUCUGCUACCCUGAGGGGCCCUCCCCGCGGGGCAGAGGGGUUUCCUCAGCAGUGCCCCGGAGCAGGGACCGCGCCAGCCAGCAGAAACAGCUAGUUGUUGUCUGCAGUGAAGAAUAAUUGGAAGCAUGGUGCCUGUUUCUUUUCCUGUGGGAGGAAGUCACAGCAUCUACUUCUGAAUCUGUGCUUGCCUUGAGGAAAAACGGCAUGGCACAGGAAUGUGGACGCUUUCAACCAGAGGAUUCUGUACGACGGUGUCGGCACACAUGACAUGAAAUUACUGAAAUCAUAUUUGGCCGAGCAAGCAUGAAGACCACAGAAGGACAGAGAUGGGAGAUCGUCAUUAGUUUAACAAGGAGUGUUCCACUGACUGACCUCUUUUUGUUUUCAAAUGAAGAGGAGCCAAGAAUAGGACAGCUUGGGAAGGUGAGCUGCGUAUAGCUCGUCAGGCUGAGCUCAUCCUCGUCUACGGCCAAACGUUGGUUUCUCAUUUCUAGAAGAUGAAAGAUGUGAUGACUCAGGAAAAACUGGAAUCUUAGUAACUGUGGUGGGCAUUGAGCCUUGCCGUCCACAAGAGAAAGCUUGCUGCUCGAGAUGUGAGUCUUCAGAUGUUCCUGCCGCCAUAUCUGACAGCUGCUGCCAAGAUUCCCUGGUGGGAUGGACUCUUAUACCUCAACAACCAGAAGCCCAAGUAAACUCUUCUAUAAAUUGAAUGACUCAUGCUUAAAAAAAAAAACAAAAAACAAACUA